rnacentral:rRNA from 1 species
GAUGAACGCUGGCGGCGUGCCUAAUACAUGCAAGUCGAGCGAACGGACGAGAAGCUUGCUUCUCUGAUGUUAGCGGCGGACGGGUGAGUAACACGUGGAGAACCUACCUAUAAGACUGGGAUAACUUCGGGAAACCGGAGCUAAUACCGGAUGAUAUUUUGAACCGCAUGGUUCAAAAGUGAAAGACGGUCUUGCUGUCACUUAUAGAUAGAUCCGCGCUGCAUUAGCUAGUUGGUAAGGUAACGGCUUACCAAGGCAACGAUGCAUAGCCGACCUGAGAGGGUGAUCGGCCACACUGGAACUGAGACACGGUCCAGACUCCUACGGGAGGCAGCAGUAGGGAAUCUUCCGCAAUGGGCGAAAGCCUGACGGAGCAACGCCGCGUGAGUGAUGAAGGUCUUCGGAUCGUAAAACUCUGUUAUUAGGGAAGAACAUAUGUGUAAGUAACUGUGCACAUCUUGACGGUACCUAAUCAGAAAGCCACGGCUAACUACGUG